CGCCCGCCGCGCGCGGCGGGCGGGGCGGGGGCACGGGGGGACUCCUACGGGAGGCAGCAGUGGGGAAUUUUGGACAAUGGGGGCAACCCUGAUCCAGCCAUGCCGCGUGAGUGAUGAAGGCCUUAGGGUUGUAAAGCUCUUUCAGCUGUGAAGAUAAUGACGGUAGCAGCAGAAGAAGUCCCGGCUAACUCCGUGCCAGCAGCCGCGGUAAU
rnacentral:rRNA from 1 species